GUGAUGCGUCUGUGGCAGGGGGAGGAGGUGAGGCUCCGCGAGGAGAAGGAGGUGAUGCAUCUGUGGCAGGCGGAGGAGGUGAGGCUCAGCAGGGAGAAGGACAGGGGGACCGAUGCGGGGUUUAACCAGCUCUCUCUGCAUCAGAGUUGGAAGGAGCCAGAUGGAGCUCAUCGUCUCUCCCGAGGACCAAGGGGAUUUCCAGCUACUGAGCUAGUUGCCAGUGACCUGCUUUUUUCUUUCACAGCUUCCCUAUUUUGUCAGCAAAUUCUUUUUUUCCCCCAGCCUGGUCCCAACUGGGCGAUGCCUCCCCUCUGUUUUCUUCUUUAAAUUCCGGAACAGGAGAGCACGGGAAAUUCUGUUCGUUCUUCCAUCUGGUCUCAGAUUUUCAGGCAGCUACAUCUUGGGUCGAGUUCUUCACCUUGUUCACCUGGCCGGUGGUCCGCAGCUCACAGGAUGUCCCAGGGAUGAAGUGGGGUAAGGUAUGAGGCUGCGGCAGUGCACGAGAGGUGCUCCUAAAACCCCCUCGCUGGCCCCCACCCCGUUCUGUUCUGGGCAGUCACGUCUCAGUCUUGAAACCCCGGUUUCCUCAUCUGUGAACCAGGGUUGACUCUCCUGGAGUUGCCCUGCCUGCCUCCUAGGAGGGCUGGGAGAUACUGAGCAGGGAGUGGGAAGGGCUUUCUAUGCUGAAGACACAGAGUACAGUGUAUUAAACAUAGGCCCCAUCCUCCUCUGGAUUAAUCUGUUUUUGAAGAGAGACAUCUCCAGCCCCCAUGUCCUGGAAUCUUUGUAGAGGGUCAGCUCUGAGCUCAUGGAGCCAGGCCCUGCCUGCCCACCCAGCUCUAGAGGCUACAGCUGCAGUAAGAAACGAAUCUGCCAUCACCUCCUUCGCCUGGAGCCAGGCUCCCCAGCACUCUGGUCUCAGGCGCCGGCGGGCAGCAGAGAUGAAGGGCUUACUUCCAGGAUGGAAUGUGAAGGAGAGACCGUGGCUCACUGCAGCCUUGACCUCCCAGGCUCAAGCCAUCCUCCUGUCUCAGCCUCCAGAGCAACUAGGACUACAGGUGCACCACCAUGCCCAGCUGAGACAGAAACAGGCCCAGAGAGGUGAGGGGGGUCGCACAGAGUCACUCAGCGAGGGAGUGGAGACGCUGAUCAACGGUGAUGACUGAUCUUCCGUGGCUGGUAGACUUGGAAAAAGGAGUCUUCCAGGACCACUGAGCCAGGGUGCCAUGGAGCCCUGGGCUAACGGUUCAGUCCUCUUCUUCGCUGCUGAGCUGUGCCAGGCAGGGGCGUACCCUCGGACCAGAAACGGUUGCAUCAGACUGGCCACAGGCCUGUGGCAGGGCAGAUAGCGAGACUGAUUGGGAAUUGGCAGGUGAGGGACGGCAAGAAGGAGAACCAGGUCAACUCAUGUCUGCAGAGGCCUGGCAGGCUGGGCCGCCACAGGGACCUCGAGUGUGGAGGAGGAGUAACAUGUGUUCACAGGCUGAGGUUCUUUUAAGCACGGGUUGGCCUGGAACUGGUCUCCUGUUGCAGGCCUCUAACGUGGAAGCUGGUGACAGGUAAGAAGGAUGUGAGUCAAAGGAAAGCUAUAAACUCCACAACCACACACACCCGCUCAGACAGACACAGUCCUCACCACAACCACACAACACUGCAGCGAAUGCACGACCUUCCUAGCAGGUGCUUGUCCCGGGGCCUCUUUUAGAACACACAGGGUGUGGUUUUCACCUUUGGAAUGACUCAUUGUUCUGUCCUGUCUCUCUGCCUUUGUU